rnacentral:rRNA from 1 species
ACAGUGGACGCGAGCAUCUUUGUUGUAAGUGUUUAAGAGCGUACGGUGGAUGCCUUGGCACCAGGAGCCGAUGAAGGACGUAGGAGGCUGCGAUAAGCCUCGGGGAGCUGUCAACCGAGCUGAGAUCCGAGGAUGUCCGAAUGGGGAAACCCAGCCACAGUGAUGUGUGGUUACCCGCGCCUGAAUAUAUAGGGCGUGUGGAGGGAACGUGGGGAAGUGAAACAUCUCAGUACCCACAGGAAGAGAAAACAACAUGUGAUUCCGUGAGUAGUGGCGAGCGAAAGCGGAAGAGGCUAAACCAUGGGUGUGUGAUAGCCGGCGGGCGUUGCAUUCGUGGGGUUGUGGGAUCCGUCUUGUCAAUUCUGCCGGAUUGGCCGACAGUGAGAAAUCAUCGUGUUAGUCGAAGUGGUCUGGAACGGCCUGUCGUAGAGGGUGAGAGUCCCGUAGACGAAAACAUGGUGACUGUCGUGACGGACACCCGAGUAGCAGCGGGCCCGUGAAAUCUGCUGUGAAUCUGUCGGGACCACCCGAUAAGCCUGAAUACUCCCUGGUGACCGAUAGCGGACUAGUACCGUGAGGGAAAGGUGAAAAGUACCCCGGGAGGGGAGUGAAAUAGUACCUGAAACCGUGCGCUUACAAUCCGUCAGAGCCUGCGCCACUUUGGUGGGUGGGUGAUGGCGUGCCUUUUGAAGAAUGAGCCUGCGAGUUAGCGGCAUGUCGCGAGGUUAACCCGUGUGGGGUAGCCGUAGCGAAAGCGAGUCCGAAUAGGGCGUUUGUAGUGGCAUGUUCUAGACCCGAAGCGGAGUGAUCUACCCAUGGCCAGGGUGAAGCGACGGUAAGACGUCGUGGAGGCCCGAACCCACUUAGGUUGAAAACUGAGGGGAUGAGCUGUGGGUAGGGGUGAAAGGCCAAUCAAACUCCGUGAUAGCUGGUUCUCCCCGAAAUGCAUUUAGGUGCAGCGUCGCGUGUUUCACUCUGGAGGUAGAGCUACUGGAUGGCCGAUGGGCCCCACAAGGUUACUGACGUCAGCCAAACUCCGAAUGCCAGAGUGUGAGAGCGCGGCAGUGAGACUGCGGGGGAUAAGCUUCGUAGUCGAGAGGGAAACAGCCCAGAUCGCCGGCUAAGGCCCCUAAGCGUGUACUAAGUGGAAAAGGAUGUGGGGUCGCGAAGACAACCAGGAGGUUGGCUUAGAAGCAGCCACCCUUGAAAGAGUGCGUAAUAGCUCACUGGUCAAGUGAUCCUGCGCCGACAAUGUAGCGGGGCUCAAGUACACCGCCGAAGCCGCGGCAUUCACAUAACACCCACUUCCCUCUACGGGGGUUGUGCAGUGGUGUGGAUGGGUAGGGGAGCGUCGUGCAGCCAUGGAAGCGCCGGAGUGAUCCAGGUGUGGAGGCUGCACGAGUGAGAAUGCAGGCAUGAGUAGCGAAAGACGAGUGAGAAACUCGUCCGCCGAAUGACCAAGGGUUCCUGGGCCAGGUUAAUCCGCCCAGGGUGAGUCGGGACCUAAGGCGAGGCCGACAGGCGUAGUCGAUGGACAACGGGUUGAUAUUCCCGUACCCGUGUGAACGCGCCCCUGGUGAAUCAGUGAUGCUAAGCGCCCUGAAGCCGCCUUCGAACCUUCGGGUUCUCCGGUGUGUGGAUGCGCGUGAACCGAUCUGGUAGUAGCCAAGCGAUGGGGUGACGCAGGAAGGUAGCUGAGCCAGUCAGUGGUAAUACUGGUGUAAGCGUGUAGGGCGUGACCUAGGCAAAUCCGGGUCACACACAGCCUGAGACGUGAUGCGUAGCCGAUUGAGGCGAAUUCAGUGAUCCUAUGCUGCCGAGAAAAGCCUCUAGCGAGCUUUCACACGGCCCGUACCCCAAACCGACACAGGUGGUCAGGUAGAGAAUACUAAGGCGAUCGAGAUAACUGUGGUUAAGGAACUCGGCAAAAUGCCCCCGUAACUUCGGGAGAAGGGGGGCCUCGUCUGGUGACGGAACUUGCUUCCUGAGCUGGGUGGGGCCGCAGAGACCAGAGAGAAGCGACUGUUUACUAAAAACACAGGUCCGUGCGAAGUCGUAAGACGAUGUAUACGGACUGACGCCUGCCCGGUGCUGGAAGGUUAAGAGGACCGGUUAGCCAGUAAUGGCGAAGCUGAGAAUUUAAGCCCCAGUAAACGGCGGUGGUAACUAUAACCAUCCUAAGGUAGCGAAAUUCCUUGUCGGGUAAGUUCCGACCUGCACGAAUGGCGUAACGACUUCUCUGCUGUCUCAACCACAGACUCGGCGAAAUUGCAUUACGAGUAAAGAUGCUCGUUACGCGCGGCAGGACGAAAAGACCCCGGGACCUUCACUAUAGCUUGGUAUUGGUGUUCGGUUCGGUUUGUGUAGGAUAGGUGGGAGACUGUGAAGCGGGCACGCCAGUGUUCGUGGAGUCGUUGUUGAAAUACCACUCUGAUCGUAUUGGACAUCUAACCUCGGACCAUGAUCUGGUUCAGGGACAGUGCCUGGUGGGUAGUUUAACUGGGGCGGUUGCCUCCCAAAAUGUAACGGAGGCGCCCAAAGGUUCCCUCAGCCUGGUUGGCAAUCAGGUGUCGAGUGCAAGUGCACAAGGGAGCUUGACUGUGAGACUGACAGGUCGAGCAGGGACGAAAGUCGGGACUAGUGAUCCGGCACCGGCAAGUGGAAGCGGUGUCGCUCAACGGAUAAAAGUACCCCGGGGAUAACAGGCUGAUCUUCCCCAAGAGUCCAUAUCGACGGGAUGGUUUGGCACCUCGAUGUCGGCUCGUCGCAUCCUGGGGCUGGAGUAGGUCCCAAGGGUUGGGCUGUUCGCCCAUUAAAGCGGCACGCGAGCUGGGUUUAGAACGUCGUGAGACAGUUCGGUCUCUAUCCGCCGCGCGCGUAGAAACUUGAGGAAGGCUGUCCCUAGUACGAGAGGACCGGGACGACGAACCUCUGGUGUGCCAGUUGUUCCGCCAGGAGCACUGCUGGUUAGCUACGUUCGGAAGGGAUAACCGCUGAAAGCAUCUAAGCGGGAAGCCUGUCCAAGAUGAGGUUU